CCUUGCUUAGCCACACCCCCAAGGGGAUCCAGCAGUGAUAAAUAUUAAGCCAUAAGCGCAAGCUUGACUUAAUUAGGGCCAGAUAGAGCCGGUAAAACUCGUGCCAGCCACCGCGGUUAUACGAGAGGCUCAAAUUGACACUCUUUCGGCGUAAAGCGUGAUUAGAGACCACAAUUCACUAAAGCCAAACACCUCCUAAGCUGUCAUACGCAACCAGAGGCAGGAAGCCCCCCAACGAAAGUAGCUUUAAUAAACAUCUUGAAUUCACGACAGUUAAGAAACAAACUGGGAUUAGAUACCCCACUAUGCUUAACCAUAAACAACGAUGACAAUAUACAAAUAUCAUCCGCCAGGGGACUACGAGCGCCAGCUUAAAACCCAAAGGACUUGGCGGUGCCUUAAACCCACCUAGAGGAGCCUGUUCUAUAACCGAUAAUCCCCGUUUAACCUCACCACCCCUUGUCAACCCCGCCUAUAUACCGCCGUCGCCAGCUUACCUUAUGAAAGCACAACAGUAAGCCAAAUGGGUAACACCCAAAACGUCAGGUCGAGGUGUAGCGAAUGGGGUGGGAAGAAAUGGGCUACAUUUUCUGCCCCAGAAUAUUACGAAAAGUGCCAUGAAAACAGCACUAAUGAAGGUGGAUUUAGCAAUAAAAAGAAGUUAGAGUGUUCUUUUGAAGCCGGCUCUGAGGCGCGUACACACCGCCCGUCA
rnacentral:rRNA from 1 species